UACGGAGGGUGCGAGCGUUGUCCGGAAUCACUGGGCGUAAAGGGCGCGUAGGCGGCCCGCUAAGCGUGUGGUGAAAGCCCGGGGCUCAACUCCGGGUCGGCCAUGCGAACUGGCGGGCUUGAGCACUGUAGAGGCCAAUGGAAUUCCGGGUGUAGCGGUGGAAUGCGUAGAGAUCCGGAAGAACACCGGUGGCGAAGGCGGUUGGCUGGGCAGUUGCUGACGCUGAGGCGCGACAGCGUGGGGAGCAAACAGGAUUAGAAACCCCAGUAGUCC
rnacentral:rRNA from 1 species